rnacentral:tRNA from 1 species
UGGGAGCGUAGCUCAAUUGGUUAGAGCACUGGACUGUCGAUCCAGAGGUUGCGGGUUCGAUCCCCGUCGCUCUCGU